rnacentral:lncRNA from 1 species
CUAUAACAUUAAUUUUAUUUAGAAUAUUAUGCCAGAUCAGCAGAGAACAAACGAGAAUGAGUAAAAAGGUAUGAUUUUGACUUGUGUUACGGAGUCUUCAUUUUCACUAAUAUCAAUAAAUUCCAAAGGAAUGGUGGACCCUGCUUCCAAAAAGCAUCUCAGAACGACACGCCCUGCGGCUAGCUCCCGGCUCAACACAUCGCCCGCCUGCCUCCUCGCUGCACGGGGCAGCCCACGUCCACGUGGCCCUGAAGCUGGGGAACAGCACCCUUGAUUCCUUCUGGACUCUGAUCAGUUGGCGGGUCUUUGCACUCUGGCCUUUCCUAGCUUGACUUCCCAUCCACUGGAGGCUCUGAGUCUCUAAGUCAAGAGUCUGCCAGAUUUAAGCAUUAACCGAGGUGUGAAUUCACUUACAGACCAGGAGGAGCAGACUCGCCAGCGACUCCUCACCCUGCAAUGUCCUGUCACGCACUCAGGGGUGCGUUUCCUGCCCUCUCCCCGCUGGAGGGCAUGAGCCCCCCGCCCCCCCACCCCCCCAACCCUCCAGGCAGAGAGACACGCCAGGCAGUCUACAAGGACCAUUCCUAAAGGGAUGACCUUCCUGAAGCUUUGACCUGUAGCGACCAGGCGUCUACAGCGAGGCGUCUGCUCCCCAUAGCACCCAGGUUCCCAGGGAUGCGUCUCAGCGCCCUUCUGAGCCCUGAGGGGAGUUUCCAGCUGGGCUCCACCUGCUUUGUUCUCCGAGACUGGAGACACGGAACGCCGGACUUAAAUUUCACUUUGAAGCCUGUGCCCUUGAAGGCUGACACCCACUGGUAUCCGAUGGUGCUGAUAAGGCUGCUGUUUCUAAGCUGGACGUUCACCCAGGCUCCUGGUGGCACCAGGGGACAAGCAGCCACACCACUGAGAAGGUCUUCUCUCUGUCACUGCUACAGGUUUCUGGCUGUGGAAAAGCCUGCUUCCUCUUUGCUGAGUGGUGCCACCUCCCAGAGUGUUGAUCUGCUUUGGCCUCAGAGUCCUCCUCUGUAAAAUGGGAAGGCUGGUCCCUGCCUUGCAGAAUUAAGCACACUACUGAAUACGCAGCAGAAGACCAGCAUCAUGAAAAAACAGCUUGUCCUCAGCCAGCAGGCUCUCAUGGUAGAGUUGGGGCUUGGUGGGGGAGUAGUUCAAUUCAGUUCAGUCGCUCAGUCGUGUCCGACUCUUUGCGACCCCAUGGACUGCAGCAAGCCAGGCCUCCCUGUCCAUCACCAAUUCCCGGAGCUUGCUCAAACUCAUGUCCAUUGAGUUGGUGAUGCCAUUCAACCAUCUCAUCCUCUGUUGUCCGCUUCUCCUCCAGCCUUCAAUCUUUCCCAGCAUUAGGGUCUUUUAGAAUGAGUCAGUUCUUCCCAUCAGGUGGCCAAAGUAUGGAAGUUUCAGCUUCAGCAUCAGUCCUUCCAAUGAAUAUUCAGGACUGAUUUCCUUUAGCAUGGACUGGUUGGAUCCACUUGCAGUCCAAGGGACUCUCAAGAGUCUUCUCCAGCACCACAGUUCAAAAGCAUCAAUUCUUUAGCGCUCAGCUUUCUUUAUAAUCCAACUCUCACCUCCAUACAUGACUAUUGGAAAAACCACAGCUUUGACUAGAUGGACUUUGUUGGCAAAGUAAUGUCUCUGCUUUUUAAUAUGCUAAGUUGGUCAUAGCUUUUCUUUCAUGGAGCAAGCGUUUUUGAAUUUCAUGGCUGCAGUCACCAUCAGCAGUGAUUCUGGAGCCCCCCAAAAUAAGUCUGUCACUGUUUCCAUUGUUUCCCCAUCUAUUUGCCAUGAAGUGAUGGGACCAGAUUGCAUGAUCUUAGUUUUCUGAAUGCUGAGUUUUAAGCCAGAUUUUUCACUCUCCUCUUUCACUUUCUUCAAGAGGCUCUUUAGUUCCUCUUAGCUUUCUGCCAUAAGGGUGGUGUCAUCUGCAUAUCUGAGGUUAUUGAUAUUUCUCCCAGCAAUCUUGAUUCCAGCUUGUGCUUCAUCCAGCCAGGCAUUUCUCAUGAUGUACUCUGCAUAG